UAUUGGGACUGAGAUACGGCCCAGACUCCUACGGGAGGCAGCAGUAGGGAAUAUUGCACAAUGGACGAAAGUCUGAUGCAGCGACGCUGCGUGGAGGAUGACGGUUUUCGGAUUGUAAACUCCUGUUAAGAGGGAAGAAAGAGGCUAGGUUAAUACCCUGGUCAUAUGACGGUACCUCUAGAGAAAGCUCCGGCUAACUUCGUGCCAGCAGCCGCGGUAAUACGAGGGGAGCAAGCGUUAUUCGGAAUUACUGGGCGUAAAGGGCGCGUAGGCGGUCUAUUAAGUCAGUUGUUAAAGCCCAUGGCUUACCCAUGGAUCUGCAGUUGAUACUGAUAGUCUAAGAGGGCGAGAGAGAGAAGUGGAAUUCUCGGAGUAGCGGUAAAAUGCGUAGAUCUCGAGAGGAACACCGAUGGCGAAGGCAGCUUCUUGGCUCGUACCUGACGCUGAGGCGCGAAAGCGUGGGGAGCAAACAGGAUUAGAUACCCUGGUAGUCCACGCCGUAAACGAUGAUCACUAGAUGUUGGUUUUGCUUAGCAGAAUCAGUGUCACAGCUAACGCGUUAAGUGAUCCGCCUGGGGAGUACGGUCGCAAGAUUAAAACUCAAAGGAAUUGACGGGGGUCCGCACAAGCGGUGGAACAUGUGGUUUAAUUCGACACUACGCGAGGAACCUUACCUAGACUUGACAUGUGGGUGACCGCUAUGGAAACAUAGCUUUCCUGGUUUACCAGGACACUUACACAGGUGCUGCAUGGCUGUCGUCAGCUCGUGUCGUGAGAUGUUGGGUUAAGUCCUUUAACGAGCGCAACCCCUACUGUUAGUUGCUAAUCUUCGGAUGCACUCUAACGGAACUGCCUUGGAAACAAGGAGGAAGGUGGGGAUGACGUCAAGUCCUCAUGGCCCUUAUGUCUAGGGCUACACACGUGUUACAAUGGCGAGUACAGCGGGGGAGCGAAGCCGCGAGGUGGAGCAAAUCCUUUAAAACUCGUCUAAGUUCGGAUUGAAGUCUGCAAUUCGACUUCAUGAAGUUGAAAUCGCUAGUAAUCGCGUAUCAGAACGACGCGGUGAAUACGUUCUCGGACCUUGUACACACCGCCCGUCACACCACGAAAGUUGUCUACACCCGAAGUCAUUUUAGCUAACCUUUUUAAGGAGGCGGAUGCCGAAGGUGUGGGUGGCGAUUGGGGUGAAGUCGGAACAAGGUA
rnacentral:rRNA from 1 species